rnacentral:lncRNA from 1 species
GGGGGGUGGCUGUGAUGUCACCGCUGGGAACCGGCGCCCGGCACUGAGUCACGGCGCGGCCACGGCACCCGACGGGGCCGUUCCCACGCUGUCCCCAUUCAUUCAUUCAUUGCUUUACUCAUUCAUUCAUUCGUUGCUUUACUCAUUCAUUCAUUCGUUUGUUUGUCCCCUCCCUCCCUCCGUCGCUCCCCGCCCCCCGCGUGUCCGCGGCUCCUCCCGGUCCGGGUGCCUCCAGAUCCAUCUGUCCCAGUUUAUCCCAGUCCCGGUGCCUCCAGAUCCAGUUGUCCCAGUUUAUCCCAGUCCUGCUUCCUCCAGAUCCAGUUGUCCCGGGUUAUCCUAGUGCCUCCAGAUCCAGUUGUCCCAGUUUAUCCCAGUCCUGGUGCCUCCAGAUCCAGUCGUCCCAGUUCAUCCCAGUCCCAGUGCCUGCAGAUCCAGUCGUCCCAGUUCAUCCCAGUCCCAGUGCCUGCAGAUCCAGUUGUCCCGGGUUAUCCCAGUGCCUCCAGAUCCAGUCGUCCCAGUUCAUCCCAGUCCCGGUGCCUCCAGAUCCAGUUGUCCCGGAUUAUCCCGGUGCGUUCAGCUCCAGUUAUCCCAGUUUAUCCCAGUCCCGGUGCCUCCAGACCCGGUUGUCCCAGGUUAUCCUGAUGCCUCCAGAUCCAGUUGUCCCAGGUUAUCCCGGUCCCGGUGCCUCCAGACCCGGUUAUCCCGGGCUAUCCUGGUCCUCCAGACCCGGUUGCCCCGGGUUAUCCCAGUCCUGGUGCCUCCAGACCCAGUUGCCCCGGGUUAUCCUGGUCCCCCAGACCCGGUUGUCCCGGGUUAUCCCGGUCCCGGUGCCUCCAGACCCGGUUAUCCCGGGCUGUCCCUCUCCCGGCUUCUCCCUUUUCCCAUCACCACGCGGCGCUGCCGGCGCCGCCGCGCGCAGUAAACACUGCGUGUCGCCAUGGCGACGGCGUUCCGCGCCGCUGACGUCACCGCGUCCGGCGUCCUUUGUUUGCGUCGCCCGGCAACCGCCGUCCCCAUGGUAACGGGAGGAGAGGGGGGGCGGG